rnacentral:lncRNA from 1 species
AAGGCUUCCACCACCAUUAUCCAAUAAUCCCUCCCAUCUACAAGAAACCUCUUCCGCCACCGUCCCCGGUGUACAAGCCCCCUCCAGUUCCCGUAAACCCACCUGUUCCAAUCUAUAAACCUCCACCAGUUCCAGUCUAUAAACCUCCUCCAGUUCCAGUAAAACCACUUCCUCCACCUGUUCCAAUCUACAAACCUCCACCAGUUGAAAAACCACAUCCUCCACCUGUUCCAGUCUAUAAACCUCCACCAGUUCCAGUAUACAAGAAACCAUGUCCUCCACCAGUUCCAGUCUAUAAAUCUCCUCCGGUUCCAGUAUACAAGAAACCGCAUCCUCCUCCAGUUCCAGUCUAUAAGAAACCACAUCCACCUCCAGUUCCAGUAUACAAGAAACCAUGUCCUCCCCCAGUUCCAGUCUAUAAAU